GAUGAACGCUGACAGAAUGCUUAACACAUGCAAGUCGAUGGGGAAGUGGUGCUUGCACCAUGGUAACCAUGGCGGACGGGUGAGUAACGCGUAAGGAACUUGCCUGCGGGACUGGGAUAACAGCAGGAAACUGCUGAUAAUACCGGAUAAGGUCAUUAAGCUGCAUAGCUUAGUGAUGAAAGGAGACGCCUGCGGAGAGCCUUGCGUCCUAUUAGCUAGUUGGAGGGGUAACGGCCCACCAAGGCGAAGAUAGGUAGCCGGCCUGAGAGGGUGGACGGCCACAAGGGGACUGAGAUACGGCCCUUACUCCUACGGGAGGCAGCAGUGGGGAAUAUUGGACAAUGAGGGCAACCCUGAUCCAGCAAUUCUGUGUGCACGAAGACGGUUUUCGGAUUGUAAAGUGCUUUCAGCAGGGAAGAAGGAAGUGACGGUACCUGCAGAAGAAGCGACGGCUAAAUACGU
rnacentral:rRNA from 1 species